rnacentral:tRNA from 1 species
GUAGAUAUAGUUUAACAAAAAUAUUAGAUUGUGAUUCUAAAGAUAAGGGUUAGACCCCCUUUGUCCACC